ACUCCUGGAGCGGGGGGAGACUAACCCCUCUCCUGUGUCCACAACUGUAGUAACACAAUCCUCGGUUCUGCUCUCCAAACUUCAAAUAAGGGGUCAGAGCCAAGGGUCAAGACUUUAGGAAAAGCCCCGGAAAUACCCUGCACUCAAAAAGCAGUUUCAGAGUUUCACAUUUUCCUGAGAAUUAAACAAAUUAUCCUCCAAAUUCUGCUGCUUGUUUUGAAUUAUGGUUAUACUGGCAAUGUUAUCCAACCCUUGAGUUGUUUUUCUUUUCUUUUUUUUUUUUUCCUCGAGAGAGUGUCUUGCUCUGUCACCCAGGCUGGAAUGCAGUGGCAUGAUCUCGGCUCACUGCAACCUCCGCCUCCUGGGUUCAAGUGGUUUUCAUGCCUCAGUUUCCCAAGUAGCUGGGAUUACAGGUGUGAGCCACUGUGCCCGGCCCUGUUACCUUUGAGUUUUUAUCUCCACAUACUUAUAUUAAACCGUGUAGUUCUUCUUCCCAUCUGACAUCUACAAUCUCUUCACUGGGUCUGUACUCCAUAGCUAUUUUACCACUUUCUGAAAUA
rnacentral:lncRNA from 1 species